GCCCUCUUAGCUCAGUUGGUAGAGCGACGCAUUCGUAAUGCGUAGGCCAGGUGUUCAAAUCACCUAGAGGGCACCA
rnacentral:tRNA from 2 species